rnacentral:lncRNA from 1 species
AGGAGAAUUUAAAUGGUAGGAAUUUAUAAUUAGAUAAAGGUAAGUAAGAAUUCUUUAUCAUGAAAGUAGAAAAUGUAUGGUUGUUGGGAAGGGAAAUGAAUACCAGUUUGUAAAUUAAGUAAAAAAGAGAAUGUUAUUUGCAGUUGAGUAAAAUGAGGGAGUGGGACAUUUGAUGUAAUUGACAAUUGGGAGCAAAAAGUAUUCACACUUCUAAGAUUCAAUUCUAAGAUUAGUGUAUCACGGAGGUGGGGUCCUAUUAAUAUUGAAGAUGAUAGCCGUGGUUUCCAUGUUAUUCAGGAGUAUCCAAGUCUCUGUGAGAAGAUGGAAGAUCAGAGGAAGAGGGUUUGAUAUCUCUGUCUCUGAAAGAAAGAUUGCACCAUACCCUCCAGUGCCUACACACCAGAAACACUGUUCUCUAGACCUUCAUUUAUUCUUGCAUGCAAGAAAAGAAGAGUUAACCAUCCCAACUCCAGCAUUCUGGGAAGCUGCAAGCAAAGAAAUGUAUUUCUACUCAACAAGAUGCUUCCUAAUAAUGAUCACUAUGCCUGAUUCCUUUAGCCCAAAACCUCUGAAACAUUGUGCCAGUUUUGGUAAUGUAUGCACCAAACUAAUCAUCAGCAUAUAUUCCUAGAAAGUAAUCUUCCAAGUCUGUUUGUUAGGGGAAGAUCUUUGACCUGAAGCAAGCAACCUGACCAAUUGCAGGAUGUAAUAGUGUCUGUGCAACUCUCAGAUGCAUGAUGAACAGCCCUGACGAAGACAUUGAGGUCCCACUGUUGUGUGUCACGGAGGAUGCUGAAAGGAUGAUCACAAACCUACGAGUUUAGAGGAAAGCAUAUAUAUAAAUAGAGUCAAUAGAGGGCACUCCUUCCAUGUGCAAUAAUCUCAGGAAUUUCUCAGUCUCCUCAACUCACAGAGAUGCCUUAUUUUAAAGUUCUUUAUAUGUGUAGGCUCUUUUCUAAAACAAAAUAGCCUAUUGUAUAUUUUUUAAAAAGAAAAAAGAAAAGAAGGAAAAUAUUUCUAUCAAUUUUAAAAUAAUUCCACAAAGUGAACAGAUGUGGGAUAUACUGAAAAGUAUGUUAAACUUCCAAUUAAUUUUCUUCAAGCCCAGGCUCAAAAACUUACUAAAUAUAUGUCCAUGGGAAAAAUGACUUAACCUAAAUCUCAGUUUAAUACUACCACCAACCUAUGACAUUCUGCUCCUGAGGUGAAGAAAUUUGUAAGUCUUAGUGCUAUCAAGUUGGACUCAUUCCAUAUAUGAAUUACAUUGUUGCCCAUUCCCAGUUUCAGGGACAAGUAUAUAAAGGUAUACCAUAUUUAUCUGGAUCAACAUGGAAUGAAAUAUUCCAGAUAAGAUAUGUUUUCC